rnacentral:rRNA from 1 species
UAGUUUGAUAAUGGCUCAGGAAAGUCGUAACAAGGUAACCGUAAGUCGUAACAAGGUAACCGUAGAGUUUGAUCCUGGCUCAGCCUUUGACUUAAAAAAAUGAGAAGUCGUAACAAGGUAACCGUACGUCGUAACAAGGUAGCCGUAGAGUUUGAUCAUGGCUCAGGAAGUCAAAACAAGGUAACCGUAGGGUCUGAUCAUGGCUCAGAAGUCGUAACAAGGUAGCCGUAAGUCGUAACAAGGUAACCGU